GAUGAACGCUGACAGAAUGCUUAACACAUGCAAGUCAACUUGAAUUUGGGUUUUUAACUUAGGUUUGGGUGGCGGACGGGUGAGUAACGCGUAAAGAACUUGCCUCACAGCUAGGGACAGCAUUUGGAAACGAAUGCUAAUACCUAAUAUUAUGAUAAUAGGGCAUCCUAUAAUUAUGAAAGCUAUAAGCGCUGUGAGAGAGCUUUGCGUCCCAUUAGCUAGUUGGAGAGGUAACGGCUCACCAAGGCGAUGAUGGGUAGCCGGUCUGAGAGGGUGAUCGGCCACAAGGGGACUGAGACACGGCCCUUACUCCUACGGGAGGCAACAGUGGGGAAUAUUGGACAAUGGACCGAGAGUCUGAUCCAGCAAUUCUGUGUGCACGAUGAAGUUUUUCGGAAUGUAAAGUGCUUUCAGUUGGGAAGAAACAAAUGACGGUACCAACAGAAGAAGUGACGGCUAAAUACGUG
rnacentral:rRNA from 1 species